rnacentral:rRNA from 1 species
AUUGAACGCUGGCGGCAUGCCUUACACAUGCAAGUCGAACGGUAACAGGUCUUCGAAUGCUGACGAGUGGCGAACGGGUGAGUAAUACAUCGGAACGUGCCCGAGAGUGGGGGAUAACGAGGCGAAAGCUUUGCUAAUACCGCAUACGAUCUCAGGAUGAAAGCAGGGGACCGCAAGGCCUUGCGCUCACGGAGCGGCCGAUGGCAGAUUAGGUAGUUGGUGGGAUAAAAGCUUACCAAGCCGACGAUCUGUAGCUGGUCUGAGAGGACGACCAGCCACACUGGGACUGAGACACGGCCCAGACUCCUACGGGAGGCAGCAGUGGGGAAUUUUGGACAAUGGGCGCAAGCCUGAUCCAGCCAUGCCGCGUGCAGGAUGAAGGCCUUCGGGUUGUAAACUGCUUUUGUACGGAACGAAAAGACUUCUUCUAAUAAAGGGGGUCCAUGACGGUACCGUAAGAAUAAGCACCGGCUAACUACGUGCCAGCCGCCGCGGUAAAAC